GGCUGGAUAGCUCAGUCGGUAGAGCAUGAGACUCUUACUCGGAGGGCUGUGAGUUCAAGCCCCACACUGGGCA